rnacentral:rRNA from 1 species
GUGAAAAACCCGUUCGCUGAAAGACCAAGGGUUCCAGUCCAACGUUAAUCGGGGCUGGGUGAGUCGACCCCUAAGGCGAGGCCGAGAGGCGUAGUCGAUGGGAAAUUGGUUAAUAUUCCAAUACUUCAGUGUAAUGCGAUGAGAGGACGGAGAAGGUUAAGUCAGCCUGGCGUUGGUAGUCCAGGUGAAAGGAAGUAGGCAUGCAUCUUAGGCAAAUCCGGGGUGCUCUAUGCUGAGAUCUGAUAUCAAGCUGUACUUGUACAGUGAAGUGGCUGAUACCCUGCUUCCAGGAAAAGUCUCUAAGCUUCAGUUACACUGGAAUCGUACCCGAAACCGACACAGGUGGUCAGGUCGAGUAGACCAAAGCGCUUGAGAGAACUCUGCUGAAGGAACUAGGCAAAAUGGUACCGUAACUUCGGGAGAAGGUACGCUGUUGAUGGUGAUAGGACUUGCUCCUUGAGCUGUCGACAGCCUCAGAAACCAGGCCGCUGCAACUGUUUAUUAAAAACAUAGCACUCUGCAAACACGAAAGUGGACGUAUAGGGUGUGAUGCCUGCCCGGUGCUGGAAGGUUAAUUGAUGGGGUUAGCGUAAGCGAAGCUCUUGAUCGAAGCCCCAGUAAACGGCGGCCGUAACUAUAACGGUCCUAAGGUAGCGAAAUUCCUUGUCGGGUAAGUUCCGACCUGCACGAAUGGCAUAAUGAUGGCGGCGCUGUCUCCAGCAGAGGCUCAGUGAAAUCGAAAUCGCUGUGAAGAUGCAGUGUACCCGCGGCUAGACGGAAAGACCCCGUGAACCUUUACUGCAGCUUGACAUUGAACUUUGACCUUACUUGUGUAGGAUAGGUGGGAGGCUUUGAAGUUGGAACGCCAGUUCCAAUGGAGCCGUCCUUGAAAUACCACCCUGGUAAUGUUGAGGUUCUAACUCUGUCCCGUUAUCCGGGACGAGGACCAUGUCUGGUGGGUAGUUUGACUGGGGCGGUCUCCUCCUAAAGAGUAACGGAGGAGUACGAAGGUGCGCUCAGCGUGGUCGGAAAUCACGCGUAGAGUAUAAAGGCAAAAGCGCGCUUAACUGCGAGACCCACAAGUCGAGCAGGUACGAAAGUAGGUCUUAGUGAUCCGGUGGUUCUGUAUGGAAGGGCCAUCGCUCAACGGAUAAAAGGUACUCUGGGGAUAACAGGCUGAUACCGCCCAAGAGUUCAUAUCGACGGCGGUGUUUGGCACCUCGAUGUCGGCUCAUCUCAUCCUGGGGCUGAAGCAGGUCCCAAGGGUAUGGCUGUUCGCCAUUUAAAGAGGUACGCGAGCUGGGUUUAGAACGUCGUGAGACAGUUCGGUCCCUAUCUACCGUGGGCGCUGGAAAUUUGAGAGGAUCUGCUCCUAGUACGAGAGGACCAGAGUGGACGAACCUCUGGUGUACCGGUUGUGACGCCAGUCGCAUCGCCGGGUAGCUAUGUUCGGAAGGGAUAACCGCUGAAAGCAUCUAAGCGGGAAGCCUACCUCAAGAUAAGAUUUCCCUAGGACUUUAUGUCCUCUAAAGAGCCGUUGAAGACUACGACGUUGAUAGGUUGGAUGUGGAAGCAUAGUGAUAUGUGAAGCUGACCAAUACUAAUUGCUCGUGAGGCUUGACUAU